rnacentral:tRNA from 1 species
GAGGGCAUAACUCAGUGAUAAAGUGCAUGCUUAGCAUGUAGGAGGUCCUGGGUUCAAUCCCCAGUACCUCCA